UUACUGUUGGAUAGGCCUUUGUAGGAUUAGAUAAUCGUGGAGAGUCAAUGAUCCUUAGCUGAUCUGAGAGGAUGCACAGUCACAUUGGAACUGAGACAAGGUCCAAGCUCUAAGAGGCAGCAGUGAGGAAUAUUGGGCAAUGGGCGAAAGCUUGACCCAGCGAUACCCCGUAGUUGAAAAGAAAGCUUUUUAAGCCGUAAAUUCUUGAGAUUUUAACAGAUAAUGACAAGAAGUCAAAAAGCCCCGGCUAAAAUUCGUGCCAGCAGCCGCGGUAAGACGAAGGGGGCAAGUGUUAUUCGCAAUGACUGGGCGUAAAGCGUACGUAGGUGGUUUAUACCUUAACUUUUGGUCUAAAAACUAGGGCUUAACCUUAGGUGCUCUAAAAGCAGUAAACUUAUAAAACAUUAGAGGAUAAUAGAAUUUUUGGAUGGAGGGAUCAAAUACUUGGAAACCAAAAGGAAUAUCGAUAGCGAAGGCAAUUAUCUGGAAUGUUUUGAUACUAAAGUACGGAAGCGUAGGUAGCAAAUAGGAUUUGGUACCCUAGUAGUCUACGCUGUCAACCAUGGAUAUUAGUACGGACUGUACAAAGCUAACGCCUUAAAUAUCCCGCCUGGGGAGUACGGUCGCAAGAUUAAAACUUAAAGGAAUUGACGGGAACUUGCACAAGCGGUGGGGCAUGCGGUUUAAUCCGAUAUUACACGUAAAACCUUACCAGUCCUUGACAUUGCAGGAGUUGCAUGGCUGUCGUCAGCCCGUGUUGUGAAAUGUUUGGUUAACUCCUUUAACGGGCGCAACCCUUUAUAACUGCUAUUUGAAAUGAUGGAGGUAGGUGAGGAUCACGCCAAGUCGUCAUGGCCCUUAUGGACUGGGCUACACAUGUGUUACAAGAGUCUAAACAGUAAGAAGCAAUGAAAAUUCGGAGCAAACUAUAAAAUAGAUUGAAGUACGGAUUACUUCCUGGAACUUGGAAGUAUGAAGGAGUAAUCGCUAGUAAUCGCAUAUCAGAAUGGUGCGGUGAAUACGUAACCAAGUUUUGUACACACCGCCCGUCACGCCCGGGAAAACCGUCUUGCUUGAAGUACCUAACGCUGGUAUACUAAAAGUUGUGUACACAAAUGGGUAUGAUAGUGGGGUCAAUAACCGGGGCGAAGUCGUAACAAGGUAGCUGUAUGGGAACCUGUAGCUGGA
rnacentral:rRNA from 1 species